CCAAUAGCGUAUAUUAAAGUUGCUGCAGUUAAAAAGCUCGUAGUUGAAUUUCGGGACUAAUAUGUCGGUCGUGCCUCGGUACGUACUGGUUUAUUGGUUUCUCCUUUCUGAAGAACCAUGAUGUCAUUUAUUUGGUGUCGUGGGGAAUCAGGACUGUUACUUUGAAAAAAUUAGAGUGUUUAAAGCAGGCUCACGCUUGAAUACAUUAGCAUGGAAUAAUGAAAUAAGACGUUUGAUUCUAUUUUGUUGGUUUCUAGGAUCGACGUAAUGAUUAAUAGGGAUAGUUGGGGGCAUUAGUAUUCAAUUGUCAGAGGUGAAAUUCUUGGAUUUAUUGAAGACUAACUACUGCGAAAGCAUUUGCCAAGGAUGUUUUCAUUAAUCAAGAACGAAAGUUAGGGGAUCGAAGACGAUCAGAUACCGUCGUAGUCUUAACCAUAAACUAUGCCGACUAGGGAUCGGAUGAUGUUAAUUUUUUAAUGACUCAUUCGGCGCCUUACG
rnacentral:rRNA from 1 species